UACGUAGGGGGCAAGCGUUGUCCGGAAUUAUUGGGCGUAAAGCGCACGUAGGCGGCUUACUAAGUCAGGGGUGAAAUCCUGGAGCUCAACUCCAGAACUGCCUUUGAUACUGGUGAGCUUGAGUCCGGAAGAGGUGAGUGGAACUGCGAGUGUAGAGGUGAAAUUCGUAGAUAUUCGCAAGAACACCAGUGGCGAAGGCGGCUCACUGGUCCGGUACUGACGCUGAGGUGCGAAAGCGUGGGGAGCAAACAGG
rnacentral:rRNA from 1 species